UUUUUGAUAUAUAUAUAUAUAACACAUGAUUGUAAAGUAUAAUAUACAAUACUAAAAUUUACAUAUAUGUAUACAUAUAAAUACUUACAGAUAAAAUAUAACAUAAUUUGUUAUAUAUUCCUUUUUUUUCAAUUUCCCCCAUUUUAUUAUUAUACUCAUUUCUUUUAUCACUUUUUUUGCCAUAUUUCCAACAUUUUUUUUUUUUUAUUUUUUCAAAAAUAUUAAUUUUUUUUGAAAAAAUGAAGGCUGUGGCGAUAUGUUUAAGUUUAAUUCUUAUUUUAUCCUUAAUUUUAUUUUUUUAUCUUUUAUUUAAUUAACAAAUAAUGAUAGAAAUAAUAGAAAAAAAGGGAUUGUGGCAAAAGGUAUCGAAUAAUUAAUAAUAAUAAAAAUGAUAAAUGCAAAUAUAGAAAUCGCAGAAAAAUUAGAGCAAAAUUACGGAAAUGAAACAUGUGAUACUUGCAUAGCAAUCCCAGAAGUUACAAAAAAAAAAAAUGAUUACAAAUGUUUAAAUAAAAACGAAAAUGGUAAAAAAAGAGAAAAAGAUGGGAAAAAUGAUAAGAAUAAAAAAAAUGAUAAGGAUGAAAAAGUGGAGAAGGCAGCAAAGAAUAAUGUAACUAAUAAUAAGGGUAGUAGUGGCAAUCAUGGUAGUAGUGGCAAUCAUUGUAGUAGUGGCAAUCACGGUAGUAGUGGCCAUGACGACAUCAAUGGCAAUAAAAGCAUCGACAUUAGUGUUAGUAGUAACAAUGAUUGUUUUUCAAACAACUCAACCGAUUUAGUAUAUCACGAAUCUUAUAAUUUAUUUUUUAAAGAUACGAAUAAUAUACACAUAGCUAUCCCAUUCAUAACGAAGCACAAUGAAAAAUUGAACUUAAGCGUAGAAUGUGUUAGUGGAAGCCACUUUGUAUAUAAUAAUGUAAAAAGUACAGAAGAAAUAAUUGAAACAAUAAGCUGUAGUAGUAAAAGCAGAACAAAUAGUAAUGAUAAUAACAAAUUUUGUGUAAGCAAAAUAAAUAAUUUACUAUUAUUUUUAAAACAUAAUCAAAACAAAAUAGAAGAAAAUAAUAACAAUAUAUUCUUAACUAGUAUUAAUACUAUUACAGAUAUAUUAAAUGACAAUUUUUAUUCUAUGUAUAAAAAUAGGGGGCAAACAAAUGCACCUCGUUUAAUAAGAGCUGAUAAUUUGUUUAAUCAUAUAUUGAAUAUAAAGAGAGGAUCAUGUCAGCUACAAAACGUUAAAACAUAUCAGAUGUUAGAUGGUACAAUAAACGAGCAAAUGUGUAAAUCACCGAAUGAAAAAAUGUACAACAUAACGGACGAGCAAAAUAAUGACAAGCCUAAGCCAACUAAUAACUAUAUUAACAACAGCACCAAUAUUAGCAACAGCACCAAUGUUAGCAACAGCACCAAUAUUAGCAAUAGUAGUAACAUUAGAAAUAACAAUGUUUAUCCCUUUGUAAACAGUGCUUCAUAUACACAUAAAAACAAUGGAUUAAAAUAUAUGCAUUGUAAUAAAAACCAUCUACAAGACAACACAGCAAUUAUAAGUAUUAAAAAUAAAAAAAAAAUUGAUGAAAAUACAUCAAAGAAAAGUAAAAAAAAACUAAACAACAAUAAAGAAGAAUGCUUAAAAAAGGAGAAAUCGAAUAUUUGUCUUUCUUCAACAUCUCCAACAUCUCCAACAUCUACAACAUCUACAACAUCCACAACAUCUCCAACAUCUACAACAUCUCCAACAUCUACAACAUCUACAACAUCUACAACAUCUACAACAUCUACAACAUCUACAACAUCUACAACAUCUACAACAUCUCCAACAUCUACAACAUCUCCAACAUCUA
ensembl:lncRNA